AGUGCAGGUCUGCAGGAAGGGCCUGCCUCCACUCAUGCAGGUACCUGGGAUCACCUGUCCAUUGGCUACACUGCCCUUUAGGGCCUCCAAAUCCCCAGCUGAAUUAUUCCCAUCCAUCUAGUAGGAAAGGAAAAAAGAAUGUUGAAGGAUCAUGCAAAAUGUUUUAGGGGCCAGUCCUGGACGUAAAAUAUGUUACAUUGGCUAGAAUGCUGUUACACAUUGCCACCUAUUUCAAGAGAUGCUGAGAUUUGGAGUCUUCUUGGGUGCCCAGAGAUUUGAGUAUCACCUAGCACUGUUUCUGCUUCAGUAUAUGCAAUGCAACUUUAUUCUGUUAAAAACAGGAGGUCUAUCAAUAGUUUCUUACCACAAGGGAAAUGGAAGUAGAACUCUGAAGCUAAAUCAGAGGACUCCAAGCAAAUGAAGUGACUGAAAGCAAGAAUGGCUCAUUGCCCUUGAGCUACACAGAAAUGUAUAGGUGGGUGUAUUGGGUCGGUUCCCUGGAAGCACAACCUCAGAUGGGGAUUCUUGUGCAAAAGAUACACGGAGGAAGAGCUCAAGGAAGUAACUUGCAAUGAAGCAAGGGGAGCAAGCUGGAGCAGGAGAAAAGAUCAGGCAAAGGCAUGCUUUCAGAAGUCUAGCCUCGGCCUCAUCCACAGGGAGCUCCAGAGAGUGAAUGGUACCAUGCAGCUGGUCAACCUUCUUGGAGGAGGGAGCUGCUGAUAGCCUUCAGUAGACAGCACUUGCACUAGCCAAGGGAUGAGUGCACCAGCCCAGUGGAGGGGAUCUGGGUAGAGCACCUAUGCCAUCUGCUAUAAUAGACUCUACGUGUCUUCUAGGAAGGACAUGCUUUUCCUUUUCGUAUCCUCUACCUGAAGCAAUAUAUCACGUACUCAGCAGACGCUCAAUAAGUGUUUGAGAAAUGAAGAAACAAAAAGACAGAGGGAAGGAGAGAAGAAAAGAAACAAGAUUACAGAAAAUUCUAAAAUACUCUUGGGCUCCAAGAAAUGCAUCUUCAAAUAAGGAACUUCACAUACUUAUGCUGAGCAAUGAGAGAGAUAUUUUGAGAAACCUGAAAAAAUAAGAGAACUUUGAGUUUUCAGUGCUCUGGAAAUGGCAAAAAGGUAGGAUAUUUUAGUCAUGCAUUGGAAAUUAAAAGAUUGCCUCCCAUC
rnacentral:lncRNA from 1 species